GCCAAUGAGCAGCUGCUUCCUGGCUGACGCGGGGCUGAGAGGUGUUGCUGGCGAGUCAAGGUGAAGGAGGUGAGCAGCUUCACGAUGCACAGCCCAGAGGAAAGCUACGUGGAUUACACUGGGACGCCUCGACACUCUCCAAUUCUAAAAACAACGAGGGAGCAACUUACUUAGCACCGACUCAAUUAUGUAAACACGGAUAUUGGCUGCCGUCACACCUUUAAUUACCUUCACCACCUUACCUGUGACGGACGAGGAGGAGGGAGGACGGGAAGAUGGAGUAAGACAUGGAGGGAUGGAGGGAGCUGUGGGGACGCAUGAUGAGAGAUGAAGAUGUUUUGGCCUUUACUAUAUUGUUUCAUUAAAAGUUACUAUUGUUUAUUGCACUUAGGGAUAUGUAGACAUGGUUUCCCCUCUUGCGUAAAAUAAAAUAAAUAAAUAAAUAAAUAAACACUGGUGGGGACUCGUGUUUUCAGUGACUGGCAUCUACUAAAGUGUAUUGCCUUUUUGUUUAAUCGUUUGCGUUGCCCUACGUUAGUUCUUCCUUCCUACAUAAAAAAAAGAAAAGAAAAAUGUUC